GAGGAGGAGGGGGAGGAAUAUUCAGUGAUAGUCUGCUCUAGGUGGCAUAAUUGAUUGAAGAGGAAGGAAAAGAAGAAGAACAACAACAACAAGAACAGCAAGAACAACAACAAUACGACGACUGGAGCAAUGACGACGAAGAAGAAAAAGAAAAUGGAUCUCAAGCAACAGGACAAGAACUACAUCUCGCUGCCACUGAGAAGAUGCCUCUUACUGCCACACCCGAUGAUGAGCGCGUGACGGCUGUUUUGCACCCAAUCUCGUCGGAGGACAUUUACACAGACGUGUGGUUUUCACCAAGCAGACGAGGUUGUGAGUGCGUGCCAUCAUCGAUACCAAAAUUCUUGUUGAAACGAUGCACUAUUUCAAUGUGAAACUGCCUCACUGAAAUCUCUAUGUUCUUCAAUGCAGAGUAAUGUUUUUCAUUGAGUAAAUUUUAAUACCUCAGUACAGCAUUGGUCGAAAUAGUUGAUGAUGAUUAGAUUUCUGUGGUGACAGAGGUAGAAAAUGUGUUACUCGUGGCAGAGGUAGUGGCAGUGGCAGCUAGUAGAUGUUUUUAUAUCACGGUUUUGUUUAUUUGUGAUAACAAUAACAAUAAGCCAAUUUCGAAUUUCGACUGGUUCUGCUAUAGACAUUUCCAUUCUUAAAAGUAAUAUGAUUUUCCACAUCGAGUACCUCGCGUACUAUUGUUUUUAUCAAAAAUGAUGUUAGUUGCAAAAAAUGGCAGAGAUUAAUUUAUUACAAGGUGAUAUCUUCCAUGUCAUCUAUAAGCAGCAUGCCCAUUAGCCAAAUUAUCCUACAAUGCAUUGUGCUCUCCAAAAUUCGAAAUUGGCUUAUUUGGUUUAUUCACAUGAAAAGGAAUCAAUUUACUAACUUCCAAAGUGUUUUUCGUAUUCUAAAUUGUCUUAGGAACUUGCUAUUGAACUUCCCAUUUAAUUUACUAGCAUAUAAAUCAAUAUAAUAAUGCAAACCCCAGUUCAUACAGUUUAAAUUCUGCCCCCAUGAUUCAUAAGUCCAUGUAAAUUUUUAAAGUUAAAAUUUGCAGCAAACCUCGCCACUAGAUGGCAGGAUUUGACCAUUAGAAAGUAAAUUGAUUCCUUUUUCAUGUGACUGCAUUUUGUAUUGCAUUUGUAAAUGUAUGUAAAUGCAAAGUAAUUUGAUAGGAGAUAGCUUUUCAGAUGAACGAUCGUGCGCGUGUUCGUGAGCGUGAUCGUGAGAGUAAAAGUGGGGCA